AGCUGAUUGGGGUCAUGUGUGAGGGCACUGGGAUCAGAGCCAAUGUCACGUCCAGCCUCCUGCAGCUUCAACAGCUCCCAGAGAGAGUCUUGUCGUAUAGCCAUGAAGUAGAGACUGAGCCCUCUGAGGGGAGAAGGUGCAAGUCAGUUUGCCUUUGAAUGAAGCUUCACAGUCAAAAUGUUGUAGAUGUCCGCUAUUAGAACCGAUUAAUCCGGUCAGGUGCUGCUGCCCACAGCACUGAGAAGGACACCGGGGUAAUGUGGAGCUGUCAGAGACCUGCUGCAGUAGGAAGGUUCUGCACCAUUCACUGGAGUCAAGCUACAAGAGACAAUCACAAAGUCAUGAGUGUUAGUUGGAAAGAUACACUGAAGGUCAGUUAGUCCAACCUUCCUCUCAGGCAAGGACUGCUGUUACCACAAGUAAAGUUGUG